rnacentral:rRNA from 1 species
GGCGGUUCGCCGCCGAUGACGUCGCGAGAAGUCCACUGAACCUUAUCAUUUAGAGGAAGGAGAAGUCGUAACAAGGUUUCCGUAGGUGAACCUGCGGAAGGAUCAUUGUCGAAUCCUGCACGGCAGAACGACCAGAGAACAUGUUUAAAACCAAAGGGGGACGACGGGUUCCGCUCGACGUCCCUCGACGCCUCGUGCGCCUCGUGCGCCUCGUGCGCUCGGGCGUUCCUUGGCGGAACAACGAACAACGGCGCGGAACGCGUCAAGGAACUUGAACAAGAGAGCGACGCUCCCGUCGCACCGGACACGGUGCGCUCGGGACGCAAUGCGAUCUCCUAUUAUCACAACGACUCUCGGCAACGGAUAUCUCGGCUCUCGCAUCGAUGAAGAACGUAGCGACUGCGAUACUUGGUGUGAAUUGCAGAAUCCCGUGAACCAUCGAGUCUUUGAACGCAAGUUGCGCCCGAAACCGUUCGGUCGAGGGCACGUUUGCCUGGGUGUCACACAUGGCGUUGCCCCCAACCCCUCGCCUCGAGCUCUCGGGCGGGUGGAGCUUGGGGCGCGUAAGUUGGCCUCCCGCGACGACCUCGUCGUCACGGUUGGCCCAAAAUCGAGCGUCGGAGCGACUAGCACCACGGCAUUCGGUGGUUGAUUAGACCCCAAUGAUCAAUGCCGUGCGUGCCGCUCGUGCGCACGCUCCGUGAAUCUACUCAUCACCAACGCGACCCCAGGUCAAGCGGGGCUACCCGCUGAGUUUAAGCAUAUCAAUAAG